CGAUUCCACGUCAAUAGAAGACACUUGGGUUGCACAUUUUAGAACUUUUUCACCUGCAGGCAUAUGCUAGCAAAACUUACGGGCUUCCCAGCCUCUGACAUUUAGACAACAUUUAUUGAGUUUCUGUUAAGUGUUAGAAUGUAACAACCAGGAAGCUACAUUCACCCGACUAAACAGAAUUUACAAUUUUAUUGUGCUACUUUAUUCUGGAGCUCAGAAAUGAAGUACGUCUUCGGCAAAGACAUGGAGGCAGAAGACUGAUCUUUGAAAAUAUGUAUUUGGGAGAUAAUCACGUUCUGUUGAAUACUUUGUGCUGGUGCUGCCAUCGAAAAAUCUGGUUACAGUCCGGGGAGGCCUGCUACCAUUGCAGGACUGAACCGCCUCGGCCCUGAGAUGAGUGUCCCGACAGAGCAGGCGCACCAUGAAUAGAUACACAACGAUCAAACAGCUUGGGGAUGGGACCUAUGGUUCUGUCCUGCUGGGGAGAAGCAUUGAAUCUGGAGAACUAAUUGCCAUU
rnacentral:lncRNA from 1 species